AAAUCACAGGCAAAGAAUCCGACUGAAAAUCCCCGUGUCGGCAGUUCGAAUCUGUCCCUGGGCACCA
rnacentral:tRNA from 1 species